GGAAGGAUCAUUAACACGUUUCCAAACGUUUAACAACAACUUCGUGAACUUGUAACCUCCCUCUUCGACCAGAUGCGUGUACCGCCACAGAAGCCCAGUUUGUGGACAAACGAUCGGAAAAAUAGCUAUUCAUUUAGCUAUUGAGUAUCCUCGGGGCUGCGGACACUGGAAUGCCGUGAGCAAUCACAUCAGGUAGUUGUAGGCCAAUUUUUAACCUUCCACUUUAACCCCUUUAACCUGCAUCUUUUGGAUGCCGCGCUAUUGACUGAUAUGACUAGUGCUUGACUGAACCGCUUGCGGUUUGGACCUUGUCUCUAUGUCAGAGUUAUGUAACUAAGCACAACUCUUAGCACCGGAUAUCUUGGUUCUCGCAACGAUGAAGAACGCAGCGAAAUGCGAUAUGUAAUGCGAAUUGCAGAAUUCAGUGAAUCAUCCAAUCUUUGAACGCAAAUGGCGCUCUCGGGAUAGUCCUGGGAGCACACCUCUCUGAGUAUCGCCUACACCUCAACUCAGCCCUUUGCGGCUGGAGAAUGAGAGUCUGAGCACGGCUUAAUUGACCGAGCUCAGUCUCUUGAAAGUGAUGGAGCUCAGAGCCUCUGUGAUGCCUGCUACUGCUUCGGCAUUAGCUAGCCUCAGCAGCUGCUACUACACAAGACUAAGCUUAGUCAAGUGACGUGGAUAAUAGUUGAGAGCCUUCGGGCACUCUACUCUGAUACGUCUGCUCAGCUAAUGCUUCUGAUUUGAGUGGUAGAUUAACGGUUGUUGUGUGUGAAAGCAACUCAGUGCUCUAAGUGUCAGAAUUGAAUGGUUAGUAACUUCGGUUGCUAGCUCUCUGUUGAGAUCUCAGAUGAAGUGAGAAGACCCCCUGAAUUUAAGCAUAUUAAUAAGGGAGGAAAAGAAACUAACUAGGAUUCCCUCAGUAACGGCGAGUGAAGCGGGAAUAGCUCAAGUUGAGAAUCGGGUAGCCAUGCGGUUCCCCGAGUUGUAAGCUAGAGACGUGUGAUCAGCGUGUGGCGCAGGUUGGAGUCCUUUGGAACAAGGCAUCACAGAGGGUGAGAAUCCCGUCCUGGGCCUGUCCGCCGCCGCGUACGAUGCAUGUUCAACGAGUCGAGUUGUUUGGGAUUGCAGCUCUAAGCAGGUGGUAAGUCUCAUCGAAAGCUAAAUAUAGGCGAGAGACGAUAGCGAACAAGUACCGUGAGGAAAGAUGAAAAGAACUUUGAAAAGAGAGUUAAACAGUACUUGAAAGUGCUAAGAGGGAAGCGCUGGAAGCCAGUGUGUGGACUAGCCAUCUUUUCCAACAGGCACGGGGAGCAUGCGGGCAGGUGUGGGUAACCCACUUGUCAGUAGUCGACUCGGGUCUGUUGGCUCCUGUGGUUAGUCCGAGGUCAGAAUCCAUUCGAAUCGGGGAGACAGCUAGCAGGAAGGUAGGGUCUAGCAAUAGAUCUGUUAUAGCCUGUUAGCAAUACCUCGGCUUGGAUGGAGGCAACAUGAAAUAGAGCGCCACUAGGCGUGGCGGUUAGGUCCUGCUGGUUCAUUAGCGCUUGGAUAGCAAUGCUAUGCGGUGCUAAUGAGUUGGUACUGAUCUGGCUGUCCGUCGGCUCUAUCGUGAUUCUGACGAAAUGGCUUCCAUCGACCCGUCUUGAAACACGGACCAAGGAGUCUAACAUCUAUGCGAGUAGUGGGGUGCAAAACCCGCAUGCGUAAUGAAAGUAAAGGUAGCUUCGGCUACUGAGGUAGGAACCUGGCCGCGAGGUUAGGGGCACUAUCGACCGAUCCUCACUUGUGAUGCGAUUUGAGUACGAGCAUAUCUGUUGGGACCCGAAAGAUGGUGAUCUAUGCCUGAACAGGGUGAAGCCAGGGGAAACUCUGGUGAAGCUCGUAGCGAUACUGACGUGCAAAUCGUUCGUCUGAUUUGGGUAUAGGGGCGAAAGACUAAUCGAACCAUCUAGUAGCUGGUUCCUC
rnacentral:misc_RNA from 1 species